GAAGGCCUUCGGGUUGUAAAGCACUUUAGGUAAGGAAGAAAAGUCAUUGGUUAAUACCCAAUGACCAUGACAUUACUUACAGAAUAAGGACCGGCUAACUCCGUGCCAGCAGCCGCGGUAAUACAGAGGGUCCAAGCGUUAAUCGGAAUUACUGGGCGUAAAGCGCGCGUAGGCGGUUUGACAAGUUGGGUGUGAAAUCCCCGGGCUUAACCUGGGAACUGCAUUCAAAACUUUUAAACUGGAGUACGGGAGAGGAGAGUAGAAUUCAUGGUGUAGCGGUGAAAUGCGUAGAUAUCAUGAGGAAUACCAAUGGCGAAGGCAACUCUCUGGACCGUAACUGACGCUGAGGUGCGAAAGCGUGGGUAGCAAACAGGAUUAGAUACCCUGGUAGUCCACGCCGUAAACGAUGACAACUAGCCGUUGGACUUUCGGGUUCAGUGGCACAGCUAACGCAU
rnacentral:rRNA from 1 species